UACGGAGGGUGCUAGCGUUGUUCGGAAUUACUGGGCGUAAAGGGCGCGUAGGCGGCCGUUUGCGUCGGAUGUGAAAGCCCGGGGCUCAACCUCGGAACGGCAUUCGAUACGGGACGGCUAGAGACCGGGAGAGGAGAGUGGAAUAGCCAGUGUAGAGGUGAAAUUCGUAGAUAUCGAGAAGAACACCGGUGGCGAAGGCGACUCACUGGACAUGUAUUGACGCUGAGGUGCGAAAGCGUGGGGAGCAAACAGG
rnacentral:rRNA from 1 species